GACGAACGCUGGCGGCGUGCUUAACACAUGCAAGUCGAACGGAAAGGCCCUGCUUUUGUGGGGUGCUCGCGUGGCGAACGGGUGUGUAACACGUGAGUAACCUGCCCUUGACUUUGGGAUAACUUCAGGAAACUGGGGCUAAUACCGGAUAGGAGCUCCUGCUGCAUGGUGGGGGUUGGAAAGUUUCGGCGGUUGGGGAUGGACUCGCGGCUUAUCAGCUUGUUGGUGGGGUAGUGGCUUACCAAGGCUUUGACGGGUAGCCGGCCUGAGAGGGUGACCGGCCACAUUGGGACUGAGAUACGGCCCAGACUCCUACGGGAGGCAGCAGUGGGGAAUAUUGCACAAUGGGCGGAAGCCUGAUGCAGCAACGCCGCGUGCGGGAUGACGGCCUUCGGGUUGUAAACCGCUUUCGCCUGUGACGAAGCGUGAGUGACGGUAAUGGGUAAAGAAGCACCGGCUAACUACGUG
rnacentral:rRNA from 1 species